rnacentral:rRNA from 1 species
CAAUAGCGUAUAUUAAAGUUGUUGCAGUUAAAAAGCUCGUAGUUGGAUUUCGGGGUGGCCUGCCUGGUCCACCGCAAGGUGAGUACUGGUCAGCCGCCCUUCCUCUCGAAAGCCCCGACUGCUCUUCAUUGCAGUGGUCGGGUAGUUCGGGACGGUUACUUUGAAAAAAUUAGAGUGUUCAAGGCAGGCUAUCGCCUGAAUACAUUAGCAUGGAAUAAUGGAAGAGGACCUCGGUCCUAUUUUGUUGGUUUCUAGGGCCGAAGUAAUGAUUAAGAGGGACAGUUGGGGGCAUUCGUAUUUAAUUGUCAGAGGUGAAAUUCUUGGAUUUAUGAAAGACGAACUAGUGCGAAAGCAUUUGCCAAGGAUGUUUUCAUUAA